UACGAAGGGGGCUAGCGUUGCUCGGAAUCACUGGGCGUAAAGCGCACGUAGGCGGCUUGUUAAGUCAGGGGUGAAAUCCCGGGGCUCAACCUCGGAACUGCCUUUGAUACUGCAAAUCUCGAGUCCGGAAGAGGUGAGUGGAAUUCCUAGUGUAGAGGUGAAAUUCGUAGAUAUUAGGAAGAACACCGGUGGCGAAGGCGGUGUGCUGGGCCGUAGCUGACGCUGAGGCGCGACAGCGUGGGGAGCAAACAGG
rnacentral:rRNA from 1 species